rnacentral:tRNA from 1 species
CACUAAGAAGCUAAAAUGGGUUAUAGCAUCAGCCUUUUAAGCUGAGGAGUGAUGUCCCCCAAACAUCCUUAGUGG